rnacentral:rRNA from 1 species
UACGUAGGUGACAAGCGUUGUCCGGAUUUACUGGGCGUAAAGAGCGCGCAGGCGGUCGAUCAAGUCGAGUGUGAAAGCCCCCGGCUCAACUGGGGAGGGUCAUUCGAUACUGAUCGACUCGAAGGCAGGAGAGGGUAGUGGAAUUCCCGGUGUAGUGGUGAAAUGCGUAGAUAUCUGCAGGAACACCCGUGGCGAAAGCGGCGCGCUGGACCAAUACUGACGCUGAGGAACGAAAGCUAGGGGAGCAAACAGG